GAUGAACGCUGGCGGCGUGCCUAAUACAUGCAAGUCGAGCGAACAGACGAGGAGCUUGCUCCUCUGACGUUAGCGGCGGACGGGUGAGUAACACGUGGAUAACCUACCUAUAAGACUGGGAUAACUUCGGGAAACCGGAGCUAAUACCGGAUAAUAUAUUGAACCGCAUGGUUCAAUAGUGAAAGACGGUUUUGCUGUCACUUAUAGAUGGAUCCGCGCCGCAUUAGCUAGUUGGUAAGGUAACGGCUUACCAAGGCAACGAUGCGUAGCGGACCUGAGAGGGUGAUCGGCCACACUGGAACUGAGACACGGUCCAGACUCCUACGGGAGGCAGCAGUAGGGAAUCUUCCACAAUGGGCGAAAGCCUGACGGAGCAACGCCGCGUGAGUGAUGAAGGGCUUCGGAUCGUAAAACUCUGUUAUUAGGGAAGAACAAAUGUGUAAGAAACUAUGCACGUCUUAACGGUACCUAAUCAGAAAGCCACGGCUAACUACGUG
rnacentral:rRNA from 1 species